rnacentral:lncRNA from 1 species
UGUGGUGAUCAUGUCCAUCGUGGUUAAGUUAGACUCAGUCUGUGGUGAUCAUGUCCAUCGUGGUUAAGUUAGACUCAGUCUGUGGUGAUCAUGUUGUUAUAAGAAUUUUAUAUCUCGAUGAUAAUAAUCAAAAAUCAAUUCGCCUUGACUAAUGCCCAAGGUUUGUAAGACAAUGGGUUAAAAUAAUUAGGCAAGGACUCAGCUUUCUGCAAAAGGUUUCUGUAGCUUUAUUCAUGAAAACGUUCUGGCGUCAGGAUAACAAAACAGUCAUUAUAUAGUUCUUGCUUACUUACGCACAUGCAUUUACACACAAUCUGUUGGUGACCUGCAACCCCCAUAAACUUCUCACACUGUUUAUCACCUUCUGGCUCAGCCUGUUCCUUUCCUUCAAGGUUAGGAACUCUCUGAGGUUUUACUCCCUUGACCAUCUGCUUCUCUAUCUCUCUAUACUAAUUGCAUACACACAUUUCUUUCCCUCUCCAGUGGUUCUUGGACUUUCUGGAACUAAUCAGACUAAUCGAUCCCUACAUUGAUCAUUACAUUGAUUAUUCAUUAACCCUGCUGUAUGACUAAUAAUUCAUCAUGGUUUAUUGAUUCAUUUACCUUUAUUAGAUAAUUCUCUUAUCAAUUCCACCCUUAAAUGAUUCACUAAUUCACCAUGAUGAUCACAUGCUAUAAGUAAUCACUAAUAAUCUCACGCUAUAUGGAAAUACAAUAAUCACACGCUAUAUGGAAAUACAAUAAUCACACGCUAUAUGGAAAUACAAUAAUCACACGCUAUAUGGAAAUACAAUAAUCACACGCUAUAUGGAAAUACAAUAAUCACACGCUAUAUAGAAUUUAAUUGUGAUACAAGGAUUAAACAAGACUAAUACAUAAUUAUUCCUCCUAUACCCAUCAAUGACAGUCCUAGGCCUCUUUCCAAUUAUGACACUUCGAUUCAGGAUUUUCAUCAUAAUUUUCAUUAAAGGAACAGUCUAUCAAAACGUUUAAAAUUCAAUCAAAACGUUGAAAAUUGUUUCAUCAAACAUUGGCUCCUCGUUAUUGAAAGAGACAGAGCCAUCUCCCUGGCCUGGAGGCCCGCAUUCGCCAUCCCACUGAUCGGAGCUCGGAAUUGGUCCAUAUCUCACCAUCUGCUGCGUCAUCGAUCUCUCUAGAGUCCUGGUGAUUAAACCUCUCACACAUGGGACGAGACAACAUCCACACAACACAAACACACUCAUACAGGUGAAAGCAGCCCAUAAUACAGUUCUUACAACACUUUUCCAUUUCCCAAACAUGGGAUGUGUUAUCAGGAAUGUACGUGUAGCGCUGAACCUAAUCAUUCUACCUGCACUGCCCUCUUCUGCCAAUAACAUAUCGAGAGUCAGUCUAUUUUACCAGGUCAUGAGGGGGGUGGUGGAUAAUUGGUCAGAGAACCUCUUUACUGCAUCCCCGUUUUCAUUCAUGAAUCUCUGUUGAUUAUAAAAGAUGUCAUUAAUCCAAUCCACAAUUCUAUUUAUUGUCAACCACCGAAAUAAUGUAGUGUUAAAGUCUUCACAUAUUUGAUUCAUAGCUUUGUAUUCAUCUGGAACAUCCCUGAGGAUGCCAAUAGCAUCCAUCUAGACAAAGCUACUCCCAUCCUGAUCAAAACUCCUCCUGUGCCUACUUUAGCCUCCUAUAACUGGCCUCAGAUGACUAACUCGAGCUGGUUGGACCAAUAACAUCGGGGCGCAAGUUCCUAACCACCCUUUGUGGUAAUUUCUGUCGUAUGCGUCCUUUGCUGGUACUAGCCCACCCUUCAUCAGUUAUAGGUGCUGUGAGGUUAAACAUUUUCUAUUUAUCUUUCAAACCUAAGUCAGUCACAUUAACGAUUACUUUCAGCCAUUAAAAUCAUCUUAGUUCUCGGUGCCAUUCUUGUAUCUAUAACACUGGUAUUCAUCCGGAAUUUAGGUGAACCGAGGUGGGUUGGCUGAGUACUUCAAUCUGGCCAACCCCAAUUCCUGUACAGUUGUCUGCUUCCCCAGGAAAUUGUUUAAUGUUUACCUUAAAGUCUACAUCUUGAUCUUCUUUGAUUCCUUAUUCUGUAUGUCACUCAUCAGUGUAUUAUAUAGUUUAUCUUCUACUUCUUCUCAAUGACAACGGUAUCCUAUGAUUAGUACCAGAAGGUGGUGGAUCUGAAUGUAUCAGAAAGGUUACCAAAACUAUGAUGCAGCUCAGAGUCUCUACUCUUCCCAAAAACCGCCAACCCUCUCCUGCCCUUAGUCUCUCUGCUUGGUACCACCCCAUACUCGCACCUCUAGGAGCACACACAGUGAUGAACGGUCGGGAUAGGAAAUCUUUGUUAAGGAGGUAACCCCCGGACCCUGUUGGUAUCGGUUCUUCUCCUAACUCUGUGUGUGAUUAUCAGUGCUCAUAUGUGUACAUACCUCCUUGCAGUGGAUAACGUGGACCCAAGUGACUCUCUCAGCUUUUCUAAUGACAAAGGCAAUGGUUUAACAGCACCUGGUAUGGGCCUUCCCAACGGGACUGCUUCCAGUCUUUUCUCCUCAGGGACUGGAUCCACACCCAGUCUCCUGGUUGAAUUGAGUGAAUCACCUUCUCCUGUAAUUCACCUGUUGGACACAAAAUCUUGGACAUACGGGUUUGGUUAACAAACAGUCUUCUCAUGUGCUCUGCUAGUAUUUCUUCAACUUCUAUGUCUACCUGUUCUGGCAUCUCUAACUCUGGCAUUCUAUAGGCUCUACCUGAUUAGCUAAACUGUCAUCCAUCAUUUAAAGAGAUGGCUCCUAGUAAACCAACUCUAGGGAUAAUAUCUUGACUUAAUAUUUUAGCUACCAUAAUCAUGUCCACCAAGUAAGUUGGGAACGCUUCUACCCAUUUGCUAUACUUAUCUAUUCUUGUUAAACACCCCUUCUUCUCCUCAUUUCGGAAUAUCUCAAUAAGGUCAAUUUCAAUAAAAAUGGUUUAAGUAAUUAUCCUCUAGACCAUCACUCUUUCCUAACUACUCUACUAUACUUCCCUCCCCUUGAUACAUUGCUUAGCCUAUGUAUCAAUAUUGCUGCAUAUCCAUACAAUGUCUUUGGUAGGAUAAGUAAAUUAUCCUUAUGUCAGACCUUCUCUUGUAGGAUGCCCCCUUUCAUUUUCCACAUGUCCAAUUCUCCCUGGGGCAUUCAUCCUUGGCUAUCAUUUAACAAUCCUCUGUCAAGGUUCUUAUCGUCUUUAAGAUUUAUCCAUGCUGCUUUGUAUGGUUUUAAAUGUCUAUGUGCUUGUCUGUGUAAAUAGUAACUUUUCUCUCCUUUCUUAUUUCACCGGUUCUAGUCAAUGCUACUAUAUUUCGGCCUACUGUGCAGAAUAGUGUCUGGGCAAUGGUUCAGUGUCUAACACCUGAAACCAACUAAGCUUUCAUUGCCCUUUUAGUUAGGGUAACCAUUACUUUCAACAAAAUGAUCAUAUCUCCUCCUAGCGAAUUUACCAGACAUAAACUUAAAAUCAAAACUAAAAUACAUGCCUAUGGAGCCGAUAGUCUCUCCAUGAAUUAAUAUCCUAAAGCUAAGUGAACCAAAUUCUCUUCCUAUCUACUCCUGCUGGCCCCCCUCCUUUCUUCCUGCUACUCCCCAACCCUCAAGGUUUCAGCAGUGCAGGGGAGGAUUUCUCCGUCUGCCCUUCUGUCUCCAGCUUUUAUUUAAAUAAUAUGGGUUGUUUCCAAAUAUUGACUAAAUGUCUCAUUGUCUCCUUGGUUGCACUCCUGAGUUUUAGAAAAAUCAACCUGUCUAGAUAUUGCAUAUCUACUUAAAUUUAUCUCGAUACCCUCAAUAAUCUUGGAUCACCUACAGAUGUCAUAUAUCCCUGUCCUGUUGACAUAAGUCUACCAUUAUUAAACUUAUUCACAACAAAAUAUAGUAAUAAAAUAUUUUCAAAUCACAUAAUCAGAUCAAAAUGACUAAUCUGAUUUACUCCACCAAGAAAAGUUAUUUUACCCUUAUUGUUCUAGGAAAAUAGACUUAAAGAAGCCUACCCUUAGUCUAAGGCUUUGCCCUUUUAGUCUUCUCAUUUGGUUCAAAUUAUCAAUUGUGUCUAAGAACUUUAACUCCAUCAUAAUUAUCAGUUCUUCAAAUUCCCUUAAAAUCAAUAUCACCAAUGACCUUAAAUUCACCAUCCAAAUGGCUUUUCAAUGUGGCUGAUCAGACCACACAGGAAAAGUCACCAGAGGGGUCAAAAGUCAUUACCACCCUUUCAGAACCGUGUUUCUUACUACAUUAAACAAAUUAAAGCUAAGAACUUUAUCUACAUUUUGUAUCCCAGGUUCCCAGAACAUUCCCUAUCAAAAGAAUUUCAUUUGUUUAUUAAAACUCAGAAAACAAGACACGCCCCAGUAUCACACAGAAAUGUGAUUCUCUCUCCCAUUACUGUUAGUGUCAAAUAGGGUUUCUGUUCUUGUUGUAAUGCCAAAUCAAUUGUAGCCAAUUCAAAAACUUCACAAUCGCUGUUUAUAACUAAAUUCUGAAAAUCGUCCUUCCCCUCACUAGUGUCUGUUCCCCCGCUCUCCAUAGUUAGUCCUGCCCCAUCCUCCUCCUCCUCCUCCUCUGGCUGGGGGCGCCUGACCUUCUCUUUGUAUCUGUCUCUACUCCCUGUCUGGCCUUGCUUGUCUCUGUUUUUGUUACAAUCUCUACCAGAAUGGUUUCCCUCCCUGCAGCGGUUACACGGUGCUUUACACUGUCUAGCAAGGUGUCCUAGCUUGUGACAAUUGAAACACUUGUAUUCCUCUUUCUCUCCUUUCCUGCUAUUCUGUUCUCUUUUGUCACCUCUACCGUUCCCUGCAAUCUCUCCUAGAGUGGUCAUCAAAUACUCUGCUCCUUUCCUUUCCUUCUUCUCUUUCUCACCUUUGCCAAGUUGCUCAUAGUGUACAGCAUAUCUCUUUACUUCCCUCAGAUCUGCUAGCCCCCACCCUAUGAGGUCCUGUUUAAUGGCGCGACUUAUCUCGGGACGCAUUCCACUGAGGAAAGCAAUUUUUAAUUGCUGAUAAUACGGGGCAUCAAAUCCAUCCACUAUCGGGGGUUCUAUUAACCCACUGUUAGCGUUGAACACGUCAUUUAAUCUCUCUAAGUAUUGGCUUAUAGUCUCACUGUCUUCUUGUUUACACUCGUGAACCUUAGAGAAAUCUGCAUGUCGGUGAUAGUGGUCCCACAGAUUAUUACACAGCUGUGUGAUUUUCUCGACAUAUUGUCCAUCUAUCGCCCAGGGCACUACUAUCAAAUCCCCAUUUCCUGGUACCCAAUUUCCCCUAACUGCUGCCCAAUCUUUUCCCACCAGCUGUCUAACUGCUCUCUCUACUUCACCCGUGUUUAGUUUAAAGUUGGCUGCCAGAGCCUCCAAAUCUCUCUUGAACCCAUCCAUUCCUGUCUUGGGAUGUCCUACCCCUUCUACUGCCCUGGCUACAUCUCUCUGAGUCCAUGCUCUAUAUACCUCCAGUGUCGGCCCCUGUCCUUCCUCCCCAGCUCGGGGGUUAGGUAAGGCUAUCAGAGGGUACUGUCUGGCUGUCCUUUCCUUCUCUUCUAUCCAUUCCGAAUCAUUCUCACUUCCCUCUUGUCUAUCUCUAUCCGGACUUUGGUUAUGGGAAACGAGUCUACUGAGGGCUCUGGGUUGUGCAGCACCACUAACACGCUCUCUUCCCCUAGUUCUCAUCUUUCUCUCUCCCUCCGUUUCUAUCCACUUUUUCAAUAAAGUGGCUAAAUCCUGUCCUCCUCCCUGUGUCUCUUCCUCUCUACCUCCCUCGGCUCCCUGAGGACCAGCAUAUGGGGGAGGGGGUAUUGGUACGGGCGGCACUUGAUGUGGUUGCCUCAGUCUCACUACCACCACCUCGUUAUCUGGGUUCUCCCGCCACCCCUGGUCAGCCAGGGAGGGGUAUAAUUUGGGUUCAGAUGUUGUCUCUGUGGGAGCCGUGGGAGUCCUCUCUGUCUGCUCCUGUCUACCCAAACAUUCAUUCUUAGUAACUCCCUUACUCUUGGCCCCCUCCGCUCUCUUUCUAGCUUCUGCUAGCCAUACCCGAGCAGUGUCAAGGCCCUCUAUCUUACCCCCACAGACCCUAUGUAUUUGUUUUAUCAUUAAUUCCAAUCUUUCAACAUUUAAACAUCCAUCAAAAUCGUAUUUCUUCCUCCAUUUCGGGCCAAAAUAAAUGUUCCUCUUAUCUUUUCCCAGCAUAAAGCGUUCAUCUCCCGUCAAUACCGGGAUCUCCUUAGAGGAUUUACUACCCAUGUUGUUAAAGUACACUCGUAUUUAUUCUGCUUCUUCUCCCAAUCUAGAAUUUUAGAAAUAUUAUUCGUAAGAACCUUAAACUAUCUUUUUAUUCUAUGUGCUUUAAUUUAUAAAACUCUGAUUCAAUUACGAUCUGUGUGUACUUGCUAUUGAUCUCUAUGUGUGUGCUGUAUUUUUCUUUGUCCAUGCCCUACUGGUAAUUUCCUCUAGGGUCCCAGAAUAAUUUCUUUCAUGACUUUUGAUAGAUCCAUUAGGUCUCGCAUGUAUAUGGCUUUUGACCCUCUUAUCUAUCUCACACGCAAUUAUCCUCUUACCCCUGUGGAAACUUCCCAAUGUGUCUAUGUGUUGUACAAUCUAUGUGUAUCUCCUUCUUGAAACUUUAUCUAUAGCGGUGACUUUUGAUCGGACAUUAGGUCGCAUACGUAUGCAACUAUAAACUAUCUUCCAGGGGUCGUAAAGCCCUAGUUAGCUUAUUUAUCUGUUGCUUCAUGUAAUUAACAAUAAUAUCUGUAUCUCACUCCGCCAUAUUAGGUCUCCCUUCUCCCAUGGAUAAUCAGACCUAGGUUGCGCCUCCGGAAGAUCUGACCAUCCCCUUCUAGACGUAUUUAGACAGGCGACCUAUAUUAAUGUAAUCAUGUCUCUAUCCUCAUCCCUCAUAAUUAUAUUACUAUAUUUCGCAUUCCAAUUUACGUUUCCGGCCAAUGUCUUUCCACCAAUUUUACGUUUUAGGUACUCAACAUUUAGCUAGUUUAUAUUGGUAGUGGCCACAGACACCGUGGAGUCAUUUCGGACCCCUCCUCCUCCUGUUUGAACUUAUACCCGAUUCCUAUCUUCCAUUUGCACAGAAUACUUGGUUCCCUUUAAAACCGAUUUUUCUCCACGCAAACUUAUAAAGACAGGUCACCAGAUACAAACUCCCUUCCGGAUAGUUCCAGCGUCUAACACCCAGAGUACAUUAAAAUCCUCUACUUGCUCCCGCCUUUCACUCUCACAUCAAUCGCUUUGCCUUUCACUCUCACAUCAAUCGCUUUUGCCUUUCACUCUCACAUCAAUCGUUUCCUCAUUUAAUGCCAACACCCAAUUGUGUCCCUUAUUCCAUCAUGCAAUGCAGACCUACAGGUGUAUCACUCAUCAUGCAACGCAGACACACAGGUGUACCACUCAUUCCUUAUUUAAUGUAAUCAUACAGGUGCUAUUCCCCAAAACAAUGAAUAAAGUCUACUAACCUUAUAAUUUGCAGCUGAGUUUUUCAAUGUUCGUUGAAUCUCGUCACCACCUCUGUCGCGUACCAGUUUGCCACCGGCCUGUAAAGAACCCACAGAAAAGGUUCAGGUCUUUGAUUUACGGAUAUUUCAUCCGCCCGGUUUCGGUGUCUCCUUGGAACGACAGCGGCAGUUUUUGAGAUCCCGGUCGAAAGACCAAUUGUUAUAAGAAUUUUAUAUCUCGAUGAUAGUAAUCAAAAAUCAAUUCGCCUUGACUAAUGCCCAAGGUUUGUAAGACAAUGGGUUAAAAUAAUUAGGCAAGGACUCAGCUUUCUGCAAAAGGUUUCUGUAGCUUUAUUCAUGAGAACGUUCUGGCGUCAGGAUAACAAAACAGUCAUUAUAUAGUUCUUGCUUACCUACGCACAUGCAUUUACACACAAUCUGUUGGUGACCUGCAACCCCCAUAAACUUCUCACACUGUUUAUCUCCUUCUGGCUCAGCCUGUUCCUUUCCUUCAAGGUUAGGAACUCUCUGAGGUUUUACUCCCUUGACCAUCUGCUUCUCUAUCUCUCUAUACUAAUUGCAUACACACAUUUCUUUCCCUCUCCAGUGGUUCCUGGACUUUCUGGAACUAAUCAGACUAAUCGAUCCCUACAUUGAUCAUUACAUUGAUUAUUCAUUAACCAUGCUGUAUGACUAAUAAUUCAUCAUGGUUUAUUGAUUCAUUUACCUUUAUUAGAUAAUUCUCUUAUCA